UCACCGGGUUAACAUUCAUCCG
rnacentral:miRNA from 1 species